ensembl:lncRNA
GCCCAGAAAGGAGCAGCUCAGCCCUGGGCUCCGCACAGUAAAAUCCAAUUAUGUACAGAGAACCAGAAGUGUCUGUGGGCAAGGAGGGAGGGAAAGAGGAGAGUUCAGGCAGAGACAGUGCCUGGUCCACUGAGACCUCACGCCCCAAGGGAUGGGAUCUUGGUCCCUGCUGAGUCCUCAGCCCUGGGCUCCUAUCUGCCUGUCCCGUCAGGUCCUUGGCCCUGGGCUUGCUCAGGAGUUCAGCAGUUACCUACUGAGCUCCCCUGAGUGCCAGCCUCUGUGCUAAGCAGCUCAAAUCCACCAUUUCAUUUUCUCCUCCCAGCAGAUCUAGAAGGACCUUACUGGCACCACGAUACCCCUGUCACACCGUGGACCAGAUCCACGAAUGUCAGAUGAUGAGAGAAGGGGGAAAUGAUCUACAAACUUCAAAUCCAGUUUACAGAUGCAAAACCUGAAGCCCAGAGAGGAGAGAAGGCUUGCCCAAGUGCCUGCUAUGAAGAAAAAGACUUUACGAUGUCCCUUUCAGACAGAGGUUCCAGACUGUCUGGAGACAUUUUUGGUUUUCACAUCUGAGAUUGCUACUGGCAUCUAGUGAGAAGAAAUGAAGGUUGCUGCAAGACAUCUACCAAGGCACGGGACACCUUAAAUGUCACUAAUGCCAAAGCUGAAAAACCCUGCCCUACGACUUUGCCCUCUGCCUAACUGGAGCUUCCAAGUGGGCUCCCUGAGCACUAGGACUCAAGGACACUGUAUAUAGUCUCUCCUAGAGUCGUGCCUGUCCCAUCUUCCUGUGCCUAACAUUGCUCAGCUGGUCAAUUCCACUUUUGGGCUCCAGUGUUCUAAAUUCACUGACUUACAGAGGCGCCAGUAUUAUUACUAUUUGCCUUCCUAACUGUUCCCUGAAGGCAGGCAAAGCAAGUAGUCUCCCUGCUGAGGGCAUGGAUUACAAUGUGACUGGGGAAUGGAAAGGGGAGGGGGAGGGGGGGAAGGAAAAUGACUGGGAUUAUUUAAUAAAAACAACCCUCCUGAGGAUGGUGGAGGUGAAGGACAGGGAGAGCAGAAUCUGUGAAGAUGUAGAAGAGAUGGGAGGAAUCCAGACUGCUCUGUGCUCCUCCCAUGUGCCCCAUCACAAAGCCGUGUAAACCAGUGGCUCCCUUGGGAAUUGAGGUCCCUUUGCACAUCUGAUGAAAACUUGGACACUCCCUCUGGAGAAAUGUGCAGAUGUACACUUCUUACAUAAUUUCAGGGACCCCAAAGCUCCAUAAUGGCUUCCAGAAGGAUUGGGCAGGGGGUAGAGGGAGGGAUAGAGGUUCAUCCUUAAGUGCACAUAGGAGAAUAAACAUGCAGGGACAAAAAAAUAAAGCUGGAAAAAAGGAAUGAAAAGGGAUUUGCCUUACCUGGUUUCCCCUCCCCCCACCCACCCUCCGAAUAGUGCAGCUUAUGGGAUCUUACUUCCUGGACUGGAGAUUGAAGCCAUGCUUAGCAGUGAAAGUGCCCAGUCCUAACCCCUGGACCUCCAGGGAAUUUCUGCACGUUACCUGAUACUAAAACAUAUUCAGGGGGCUCCCCUGGUGGCUCAGUGGUAAAGAAUCCACCUUCCUAUGCAGGAGACACGGGUUCAAUCCCUGGUCCGGGAAGACCCCACAUGCUGUGGAUCAACUAGGCCCAUGCACAACAACUAUUAAGCCUGUGCUCUAGAGCCUGGGAGCCACAACUGCUGAGCCCAUGUGCCGCAGCUUCUAAAGCUCACUCACCCUGAGCCCGUGCUCUGAAAGCAGAGAAGCCACCACAAUGAGAGGCUUUUGCACCGCAACUAGAGAGUAGCUGCUGCUCACCACAACUAGAGAAAAGCACGAGCAGCCACAAAGACCCAGCAGAACCAAAAAUAAAUAAAACAAAAACCAUAUUCUAAAGCCAGUGUAUUCAAAGCAGUGUGGUAUUGAAGC